UACAGAGGGUGCGAGCGUUGUUCGGAAUUACUGGGCGUAAAGCGCGCGCAGGCGGCCCUUUAAGUCUACCCGUGAAAUGCCGGAGCUCAACUCCGUGCACGCCGGAGGAUACUGGGGGGCUGGAGACAUGUAGAGGCAAGCGGAAUUCCGGGUGUAGCGGUGGAAUGCGUAGAUAUCCGGAAGAACACCUGAGGCGAAGGCGGCUUGCUGGGCAUGAUCUGACGCUGAGGCGCGAAAGCGUGGGGAGCAAACAGG
rnacentral:rRNA from 1 species